rnacentral:rRNA from 1 species
UGAGGAAUAUUGCGCAAUGGGGGCAACCCUGACGCAGCGACGCCGCGUGGGUGAGGAAGGUUUUCGGAUCGUAAAGCCCUGUCAGGUGGGAAGAAGUGUGUAGUGAUUAAUACUCAUUACAUUUGACGGUACCACCAAAGGAAGCACCGGCUAACUCCGUGCCAGCAGCCGCGGUAAUACGGAGGGUGCGAGCGUUGUUCGGAAUCACUGGGCGUAAAGGGCGCGCAGGCGGUUAGUUAAGUCAGAUGUGAAAUCCCACGGCUCAACUGUGGAAGUGCAUUUGAAACUGGCUGACUUGAGUAUCAGAGGGGAAAGUGGAAUUCCCGGUGUAGAGGUGAAAUUCGUAGAUAUCGGGAGGAAUACCGGUGGCGAAAGCGACUUUCUGGCUGAAUACUGACGCUGAGGCGCGAAAGCGUGGGGAGCAAACAGG